ACCACAGCCCCUGAAUUCGCCUGCAUCUACUCCACCCUCAUUCUUCACUAUGAACGAGGUGACCGUCACAGAGGAUAAAUCAAGGCCCUAAUUAAAGUAGGUGGUGUAAAUGUUGAACCUUUUCGGCCUGGUUUGUUGGCAAAGGCCCUGGCCUAUGGUGACAUCGAGAGACUCAUCCUAAUGUAGGGGUUGGUGGACCUGCUCCAGCAGCUGCUGCUGCAUCAACAGUAGGUCCUGCCCUGUCCAGAGCAGCUGCUCCAGCUGAGGAGAAGGAAGUGUAAGCAAAGAAAAAAGAAUCAAAGAAAAAGAUAAAGAAAAGGAAAAACAAAGAAGAAUCUGAGGAGUGUGAUGAUGGCAUGGGCUUU
rnacentral:lncRNA from 1 species